GUGAAUCAUCAAAUCUUUGAACGCAAAUUGCACUCUCCGCGGAUAGUAUGCCUGUUUCAGGGUCAGCCUAUAAAAAAUCGACAACGUUGCUGUUUCGCGGUGGAGUUCGUCGGUAAUUGUGUCAUCUUAUAUCUUUAGUAUUUAAGCGACUUAUAGUUUUCUGUGUGGUUCCAUGAACGUUUCUAAGAUUUAUUUCUUUACACGUUUAAGGUAUCGAUUUUUAUUAGACGUGUCCAUCAUAUCGGAUCGCGC
rnacentral:misc_RNA from 1 species